rnacentral:tRNA from 1 species
AAAAAGAUAAGCUAAAAAAGCUUUUAGGUUCAUACCCCAAAUAUAAAGGUUACUAACCCUUUUCUUUUUA